rnacentral:rRNA from 1 species
UACGGAGGGUGCAAGCGUUGUCCGGAUUUAUUGGGUUUAAAGGGUGCGUAGGUGGCUUGUUAAGUCCGGGGUGAAAGCCCACAGCUCAACUGUGGAACUGCCCUGGAUACUGGCAAGCUUGAGUCCAGACGAGGUUGGCGGAAUGGAAGGUGUAGCGGUGAAAUGCAUAGAUACCGUCCAGAACCCCGAUUGCGUAGGCAGCUGACUAGGCUGGUACUGACACUGAGGCACGAAAGCGUGGGGAGCGAACAGU